AGUUCUCGUUGAUGAUCGGUGCUUGCACCGAGAUUCAACAUGGAACGAGUGGCGGACGGGUGAGUAACACGUGGGUAACCUGCCCUUAAGUGGGGGAUAACAUUUGGAAACAGAUGCUAAUACCGCAUAGAUCCAAGAACCGCAUGGUUCUUGGCUGAAAGAUGGCGUAAGCUAUCGCUUUUGGAUGGACCCGCGGCGUAUUAGCUAGUUGGUGAGGUAAUGGCUCACCAAGGCGAUGAUACGUAGCCGAACUGAGAGGUUGAUCGGUCACAUUGGGACUGAGACACGGCCCAAACUCCUACGGGAGGCAGCAGUAGGGAAUCUUCCACAAUGGACGCAAGUCUGAUGGAGCAACGCCGCGUGAGUGAAGAAGGCUUUCGGGUCGUAAAACUCUGUUGUUGGAGAAGAAUGGUCGGCAGAGUAACUGUUGCCGGCGUGACGGUAUCCAACCAGAAAGCCACGGCUAACUACGUGCCAGCAGCCGCGGUAAUACGUAGGUGGCAAGCGUUAUCCGGAUUUAUUGGGCGUAAAGCGAGCGCAGGCGGUUUUUUAAGUCUGAUGUGAAAGCCCUCGGCUUAACCGAGGAAGCGCAUCGGAAACUGGGAAACUUGAGUGCAGAAGAGGACAGUGGAGCUCCAUGUGUAGCGGUGAAAUGCGUAGAUAUAUGGAAGAACACCAGUGGCGAAGGCGGCUGUCUGGUCUGUAACUGACGCUGAGGCUCGAAAGCAUGGGUAGCGAACAGGAUUAGAUACCCUGGUAGUCCAUGCCGUAAACGAUGAAUGCUAG
rnacentral:rRNA from 1 species